rnacentral:rRNA from 1 species
AGGGCUGCAGUAUAUUGACUGUACAAAGGUAGCAUAAUCAUUAGUCAUUUAAUUGAUGACUUGUAUGAAGGAUUUGAUGAAAUAUAAACUGUCUCUUAUUUGAUUAUAAAAUUUAAUUUUUUUAUUAAAAAGUUAAAAUAUAUUAAAAAGACGAGAAGACCCUAUAGAGUUUAAUAAGUUAUUAAAUUGAGAUUAUGUGUAAAUUAAACUUGAAAUUGAGUUAUUUAUUUUGUUGGGGUGACAAAAAAAUAUAUUAAACUUUUUUUAUUUAAAAACAUUUAUAAGUGGUUAAAUGAUCCAAUAAUGUUGAUUAUAAGAAAAAAUUACCUUAGGGAUAACAGCGUAAUUUUUUUUUUUAGUUCAAAUAAGAAAAAGAGUUUGCGACCUCGAUGUUGGAUUAAGAUAAAAUUUAAA